GGGAGUUUGGCCGAGUGGUUAAGGCGUCGUGUUUAGGUCUUGUCGGGUGAGCCCGGUGAACUUAAAAUCCCGCGAUGGGAAACCGCGCAGGUUCGAAUCCUGCAGCUCUCA